rnacentral:rRNA from 1 species
AGCGAACGCUGGCGGCAGGCCUAACACAUGCAAGUCGAACGAACCUUUCGGGGUUAGUGGCGGACGGGUGAGUAACACGUGCGAACGUGCCUUUAGGUUCGGAAUAACUCAGGGAAACUUGUGCUAAUACCGAAUGUGCCCUUCGGGGGAAAGAUUAAUCGCCUUUAGAGCGGCCCGCGUCUGAUUAGCUAGUUGGUUGAGGUAAUGGCUCACCAAGGCGACGAUCAGUAGCUGGUCUGAGAGGAUGAUCAGCCACAUUGGGACUGAGACACGGCCCAAACUCCUACGGGAGGCAGCAGUGGGGAAUCUUGCGCAAUGGGCGAAAGCCUGACGCAGCCAUGCCGCGUGAAUGAUGAAGGUCUUAGGAUUGUAAAAUUCUUUCACCGGGGACGAUAAUGACGGUACCCGGAGAAGAAGCCCCGGCUAACUUCGUG